UUAGACAUGACGUUAGGCUAGAUC
rnacentral:rRNA from 1 species